CCUACGGGAGGCUGCAGUGAGGAAUAUUGGUCAAUGGACGAGAGUCUGAACCAGCCAAGUAGCGUGAAGGAUGACUGCCCUAUGGGUUGUAAACUUCUUUUAUAUGGGAAUAAAAUGUUCCACGUGUGGGACUUUGUAUGUACCAUAUGAAUAAGGAUCGGCUAACUCCGUGCCAGCAGCCGCGGUAAUACGGAGGAUCCGAGCGUUAUCCGGAUUUAUUGGGUUUAAAGGGAGCGUAGGUGGAUUGUUAAGCCAGUUGUGAAAGGUUGCGGCUCAACCGUAAAAUUGCAGUUGAAACUGGCAGUCUGGAGUACAGUAGAGGUGGGCGGAAUUCGUGGUGUAGCGGUGAAAUGCUGAGAUAUCACGAAGAACUCCGAUUGCGAAGGCAGCUCACUGGACUGCAACUGACACUGAGGCUCGAAAGUGUGGGUAUCGAACAGGAUUAGAUACCCGGGUAGUC
rnacentral:rRNA from 1 species